rnacentral:rRNA from 1 species
GAUUUCUGGUUCGGCGCACUUGGCCCGCUCCGGUUACGGAGUUGUGUGCCGGUGUGCGCCAUCCAUCCUUCUAGAGUACGACUCUCCCUUCACUGGGUUGGGCCGGAAUCUAGAUCAUUUACUUUGAAAAAAUUAGAGUGUUUAAAGCAGGCUUUUGCUAUGAAUACAUUAGCAUGGAAUAAUAAUCUAGGACUUCGGUUCUAUUUUGUUGGUUUCUAUAACUGAAGUAAUGAUUGAUAGGGAUAGUUGGGGGUGCUAGUAUUGGCCGGCCAGAGGUGAAAUUCUUGGAUUCGGUCAAGACUAACUUAUGCGAAAGCAUU